rnacentral:lncRNA from 1 species
CUCCACACCUGAACCCAGAGAUCACACCACUGUCCGCCGCUCUGGCUCAAACCAUUGCCCAGGGGAUGGCACCCCCGCCUGUGUCCAUGGCCCCUGUAGCUGUGUCUGUGGCCCCUGUGGCUCCUGUGGCUGUGUCCAUGGCUCAGCCCUUAGCAGGGAUCACAAUGAGCCACACUACUACUCCUAUGGUGACGUACCCCAUUGCCUCCCAGAGCAUGCGCAUCACAGCCAUGCCACACUGACAGGCCAAACGGACACUCCCUCCCUGUCAUAGCACCUGAGGGCUGCGGUCAGGGGCCCUUCCCCACCCGCAGAGCCCAGCCCUCCCAGGCUCUGUCCAGAGGACCACUCAGAAACUAGGACAAGAGACUACAAGGAAUAUACUCGGUAGGAGCGUCUCCUGAGGCAGGGUUGUGCUGCUGUGUUCUCCCCACUCUUGAGAGGGUCGUCUCCUUCAGGCCUCAACUCAGACAGGCUUGCACAGGCGUUGAGACUGAAGCCAGCAGAAAGGGCUAAGGGACUGUGUUUUCUCACAGGAAUUUGGGGGGGUGUCCCUGGUCUUAUUUUCAUUGUGAACAGCACAGAUUCCAGCACUGAUAUGGGAGAGAAAGAUUCCUCACCCAGAGAGAGCCAGGAAAGAUGGAGAAGUGAAAGUCAGUGGUCAGGAGCAAAGACCGCACGUGAGCCUUCAGAUGGUUUGGGGCCCAAAAAUACUCCUGGGCCCCUGGGGAGGCCGGGACCAUAGUACUCCAACCCAGAGUAGGAGAACACUCACUUACCUCGCUUGGCCUGGAAAUCUGUAGGGCAGUGCCCACUACUUUCCAAAGAAAUAAAAGAACGUUAUUUUUUAACAAA